rnacentral:rRNA from 1 species
UCGAGAAUCUUCGGCAAUGGGCGCAAGCCUGACCGAGCGACGCCGCGUGCGGGAUGAAGGCCUUCGGGUUGUAAACCGCUGUCAGAGGGGCGGAAAUACAUUGGGGUUCUCCCCAGUGUUUGACUUAACCUCAGAGGAAGCACGGGCUAAGUUCGUGCCAGCAGCCGCGGUAAGACGAACCGUGCAAACGUUAUUCGGAAUCACUGGGCUUAAAGCGUGCGUAGGCGGCUCAGAAAGUUGGGUGUGAAAUCCCUCGGCUCAACCGAGGAAUUGCGCCCAAAACUACUGGGCUUGAGGGAGUUAGAGGUGAGCGGAACUCACGGUGGAGCGGUGAAAUGCGUUGAUAUCGUGAGGAACACCGGAGGCGAAAGCGGCUCACUGGGGCUUAUCUGACGCUGAGGCACGAAAGCUAGGGGAGCAAACGG